rnacentral:lncRNA from 1 species
GGCGCGGACACGCAGUUUAGCGUGGGAUCUUGCACGUGCUCCCACGUCUCCUAGCGUGCCACCUUCCUGAGCAAAUGAAACCGGUGUGACUGCAGACUGUUCGUCGUCGCGCAUCUGGACGCUGCUGAAUUGGACGUACUUACGUACUGUCGCCCGCCGUGACGACCAGAACAGCGAACCAAUGCUUUGACGUGAAGAAAGGCUGCACGGUUUUCUGUUCACUCUCAAUAACACAGGCUCUGCGAGCAUGCUGCGGGCAGCAAAACCGGCACUAUCGUAACCGCAUCAGGACGCUCCAUAGCUUCCGCAAACGCCUUUGGCUACAUCGUCCACAGGUCUGUAGUACGAAGCAAGCGACGGUCUCAAAAGCGGGAGCUGAUGAAAGUUGCGGUGGUGAGUGCACGUGUUACGAUUCCUCACUCACGCCAAACUAUACCAGUGAAUGGAAUG